rnacentral:rRNA from 1 species
CCUACGGGUGGCUGCAGUAGGGAAUAUUGGUCAAUGGGGGGAACCCUGAACCAGCCAUGCCGCGUGCGGGACGAAGGCGCCAUGCGUCGUAAACCGCUUUUGCACUGGGAGAAAAGGCCCCUGCGGGGGAGAUUGACGGUACAGUGCGAAUAAGCAUCGGCUAACUCCGUGCCAGCAGCCGCGGUAAUACGGAGGAUGCGAGCGUUGUCCGGAUUUACUGGGCUUAAAGGGCGCGUAGGCGGCCCUUCAAGUCCGCGGUCAAAUCACCGGGCUCA